GAUGAACGCUGGCGGCGUGCCUAACACACGCAAGUCGAGCGAUUUACUUCGGUAAAGAGCGGCGGACGGGUGAGUAACGCGUGGGUAACCUGCCCUGUACACACGGAUAACAUACCGAAAGGUAUGCUAAUACGGGAUAAUAUGCUUUAGUCGCAUGGCUGAAGUAUCAAAGCUCCGGCGGUACAGGAUGGACCCGCGUCUGAUUAGCUAGUUGGUAAGGUAACGGCUUACCAAGGCGACGAUCAGUAGCCGACCUGAGAGGGUGAUCGGCCCCAUUGGAACUGAGACACGGUCCAAACUCCUACGGGAGGCAGCAGUGGGGAAUAUUGCACAAUGGGCGAAAGCCUGAUGCAGCAACGCCGCGUGAGCGAUGAAGGCCUUCGGGUCGUAAAGCUCUGUCCUCAAGGAAGAUAAUGACGGUACUUGAGGAGGAAGCCCCGGCUAACUACGUGCCAGCAGCCGCCGUAA
rnacentral:rRNA from 1 species